rnacentral:rRNA from 1 species
UGAGUAACACGUGGGCAACCUGCCCUUUGCACUGGGAUAGCCUCGGGAAACCGAGGUUAAUACCGGAUACUCCAUAUUUGUCGCAUGGCGAAUAUGGGGAAAAGGCUCCGGCGGCAAAGGAUGGGCCCGCGGCCUGUUAGCUAGUUGGUGGGGUAGUGGCCUACCAAGGCAAUGAUGGGUAGCCGGGUUGAGAGACCGACCGGCCAGAUUGGGACUGAGACACGGCCCAGACUCCUACGGGAGGCAGCAGCA